AGCGAACGCUGGCGGCAGGCCUAACACAUGCAAGUCGAACGGAUCCUUCGGGAUUAGUGGCGGACGGGUGAGUAACACGUGGGAACGUGCCUUUUGGUUCGGAACAACUCAGGGAAACUUGAGCUAAUACCGGAUGUGCCCUUCGGGGGAAAGAUUUAUCGCCAUUAGAGCGGCCCGCGUCUGAUUAGCUUGUUGGUGAGGUAAAGGCUCACCAAGGCUACGAUCAGUAGCUGGUCUGAGAGGAUGAUCAGCCACACUGGGACUGAGACACGGCCCAGACUCCUACGGGAGGCAGCAGUGGGGAAUCUUGCGCAAUGGGCGAAAGCCUGACGCAGCCAUGCCGCGUGAAUGAUGAAGGUCUUAGGAUUGUAAAAUUCUUUCACCG
rnacentral:rRNA from 1 species